CUAUAACAUUCAGCCUAUUUUCCCAAUCCUACAGGCUAUAAAACUAAGCCUAUUUCCACAAUCCUACAGACUAUAAAAUUUCCACAAUCCUACAGGCUGUAAAAUUUCAACAAUCCCUAACAGGCUAUAAAACUCAUCCUAUUUCCAUAAUCCUAUAGGCUAUAAAACUAAACCUAUUUCCACAAUCCUACAAGUUUUAAACUUUAGCCUAUUUCCACAAUCCUAUACACUAUAAACCUCACCUUUUUUAACAAACCUAGAAGUUAUAACCCCCAGCCUAUUUCUACAAUCCUGUAAGCUAUAAACCUAAGCCUACUUCUACAAUCUUGUAAGCUAUAAACCUGAGCCUAUU